UACGGGAGGCAGCAGUGGGGAAUAUUGCACAAUGGGCGCAAGCCUGAUGCAGCCAUGCCGCGUGUAUGAAGAAGGCCUUCGGGUUGUAAAGUACUUUCAGUCGUGAGGAAGGUGUUAAGGUUAAUAACCUUAGCAAUUGACGUUAGCGACAGAAGAAGCACCGGCUAACUCCGUGCCAGCAGCCGCGGUAAUACGGAGGGUGCGAGCGUUAAUCGGAAUUACUGGGCGUAAAGGGCACGCAGGCGGUUAAUUAAGUUGGAUGUGAAAUCCCCGGGCUUAACCUGGGAAUGGCAUUCAAGACUGGUUAGCUAGAGUCUUGUAGAGGGGGUAGAAUUCCGAUGUGUAGCGGUGAAAUGCGUAGAGAUGUGGAGGAAUACCGGUGGCGAAGGCGGCCCCUGGACAAAGACUGACGCUCAUGUGCGAAAGCGUGGGGAGCAAACAGGGAUUAGAUACC
rnacentral:rRNA from 1 species